UUGAAGAAUUUGAAGACUUCAACUUGCAGACUUGAAGAAUUUAAAGACUUCAACUUGCAUAAUUGGAGAUUUUGAAGACUUCAUCU
rfam:Solanum tuberosum cultivar DM 1-3 516 R44 scf00163_5, whole genome shotgun sequence.